ensembl:lncRNA
UCUUGAACUGUUGUACGGGAGCGGAGCUGAUAGCCUGUGAGAGGAUGUGAUAAAGAACAGUUGAGACCAUAUUUUCAUUUUGCUUUGAAGUUUUUCUAAUUUAAUGGGCUCUCUGGCAGAAAGGGAGGGUUGAGGGUGGGGGAAGGGAUUUGUGUCUUAACUACACUUUGCAAAUGGUUCUAAUAAACACCAGCUGAUUGUGGGCAAUGCCGGAGUGAUAGCACCUGGUCCACUGCUAAUUGUGAAGCCAAAGCAAGCCUCCCUCCCUGCCGUCCCCCUACCUCUGAAACUACGAGACAGGAUGGCUGUAAUUUACAGUGUGUUAUCUUUGUCUAUAGCGGCGAGAUGAUAUGAAGUAAAUCAAGGUACGAGUAAUGAAAGACUGAGAAUUUAUUCCUUGGAGCACACUUUAAAGUGUAGUAUCUGUUAUAGUGGCACUGCCUGAAGACCCUGAAAUGAGACUUGGAUGAAGGGCAAUAAAGCAGCAUAGAGGCUCAUGUUAAUGUUGUUUGUCUGAGGUUAGUAAUUGGGUUCCACUGAUGAGUUGUGUGAAGACAAAGUGAGAAUCCCAGCUAGUAUUGUAAAUCUUACAUUGUUGGAACAAGAAGCAAUCCUAACAAAUAUUGAUCCUCUCUGUGCCCAGAGGCGAGGAGGGAAGCAGUGAACUGCAAAGCACUGGCUUGUUUCAAUAGCACCAAUUACCUUAGUGAAACCAGCGCUCUGCAUGAAAUCCCAGGGUGGCUGCAAACCGUGAAUUAGCCAUGAUUAGGCUUUUUAGUUGGAUCCCCCCAAAAUCACACUGGCUUCGCAUUCUGUCUCAAUUAUCCUUGCGGUUCUAAAACCAUAUUCCACGGAAGCAGUUCCUUCCAGUUAUUAAAGGCUCUGGUCAGGUAUGGAUGCAAGUUACGGUUAUGUGACCCACCAGUGCCUUAUGCACAAAGGGCCAGAGUGAAUGUGUCUGAGUUUGACCCCUAGAAAGAUGUAGCUUUCCACGCUGGACUUCACUGAGCCAGCAAGUAGGGGGCCCAUAGCCUCCAUGUAAUGGACUUUGUUGUUGUUUGAUUCUUCCAACUGCUGUUUGUGUCAUAAAUCCUAAAGAUCCUUGGGGAAAUGAUCUCCAGGGAAGAAAAGACAUCUCAAGUUCUGUGUUUUGUGGGACUGGCUUCCUGUUCUUCAUUUUAAUUGUGAAGGUCCUCUGAAGAUCUGUGUUCAUCUUAUUUAAAUAUCAAGCUUCCUUCCUUGGACUCUCCCCUGAGUUCUCAUUGUGGAAAAUUUGGGCCCAUGGGAAGAGAGAGAGUUGAUAAAAUCUAGGAGGUCACGCUUCAUUUUGUCUCUUCCCAGAAGCAAGGUCUUGUUCUGGGCAUUCCUUGACACGGCCCUCUACUCUGUUACCCUGGCUGUGAGUGUGCAGUAGUUACUCUCAGGGUCAUUUCAAAGGCCAGAUCUUGACUUUGGGCUAGGUGAGACAAGGGGGUAUUUGGCUUAUGGGCUCCUGACAGCUGUGGUUCAUCAGCUUUCUUCAUGUUUUCCACCCCUGUGGCCUCCCCUGGGAGAAGAGAGGGAGCCCAGAGCACCUGAUCUCUGAUAUGACACUUGAACAUAUGUGUGGCAAUACUUGCCUGCAGCAGAAGAAAGGUGAGGUCAGUUCAGCUCAGUCGCGUCCAACUCUUUG